rnacentral:rRNA from 1 species
AGAAUUUUUCACAAUGGGCGAAAGCCUGAUGGAGCGACGCCGCGUGGGGGAUGAAUGGCUUCGGCCCGUAAACCCCUGUCAUUUGCGAACAAACCUUACUAGCUAACAACUGGUGAGCUGAUUGUAGCGACAUAGGAUGGUACGGCUAACUCUGUGCCAGCAGCCGCGGUCAUACAGAGGUCCCAAGCGUUGUUCGGAUUCACUGGGCGGAAAGGGUGCGUAGGUGGUGAGGUAAGUCGGAUUUGAAAUCUCCGGGCUCAACCCGGAAAUGGCAUUGGAAACUACCUUGCUUGAGGAUUUGAGGGGGGAUUGGAAUACUUGGUGUAGCAGUGAAAUGCGUAGAUAUCAAGUGGAACACCAGUGGCGAAGGCGAAUCCCUGGAAAAUACCUGACACUGAGGCACGAAAGCUAGGGGAGCAAAC